rnacentral:misc_RNA from 1 species
GAUGAAGAACGUAGCGAAAUGCGAUAAGUAGUGUGAAUUGCAGAAUUCAGUGAAUCAUCGAAUCUUUGAACGCACAUUGCGCCCCUUGGUAUUCCAUGGGGCAUGCCUGUUCGAGCGUCAUUUGUACCUUCAAGCUUUGCUUGGUGUUGGGUGUUUGUCCUGAGGGACUCUCCUUAAAGUAAUUGGCAGCCAGUGUUUGGUUUUGAAGCGCAGCACAAGUCGCGAUUCAAAGCUAUACGCCCGCUUCCACAAGCCUUUUUCACUUUUGACCUCGGAUCAGGUAGGGAUACCCGCUGAACUUAAGCAUAUCAAUAAGCGGAGGA